CCUACGGGAGGCAGCAGUGGGGAAUAUUGGGCAAUGGGCGCAAGCCUGACCCAGCAACGCCGCGUGAAGGAUGAAGGUUUUCAGAUUUUAAACUUCUGUCGCGCAGGACGCAGAAUGACGGUACCUCGUCAGAACGCCCCGGCUAACUACGUGCCAGCAGCCUCGGUCAUACGUAGGGGGCAAGCGUUGUCCGGAAUGACUGGGCGUAACGGGAGUGUAGGCGGCUUAUCAAGUUAGAUGUGAAAUCCCGGGGCUUAACCGCGGAACUGCAGCUAAAACUGGUGAGCUGGAGUGCAGGAGAGGUGAGUGGAAUGCCUAGUGUAGCGGUGGAAUGCGUAGAUAUUAGGAGGAACACCAGAGGCGAAGGCGACUCACUGGACGGUAACUGACGCUGAGGCUCGAAAGCGUGGGGAGCAAACAGGAUUAGAUACCCCAGUAGUC
rnacentral:rRNA from 1 species